rnacentral:ncRNA from 1 species
UGGGGAACGCGAUCUCCCCACGAGGCGGCAGCCGAAGUAUCGC